rnacentral:rRNA from 1 species
UACGGAGGAUGCGAGCGUUAUCCGGAUUUAUUGGGUUUAAAGGGUGCGUAGGCGGUCCGUUAAGUCAGCGGUAAAAUUGCGGGGCUCAACCCCGUCGAGCCGUUGAAACUGUCAGACUUGAGUUGGCGAGAAGUACGCGGAAUGCGCGGUGUAGCGGUGAAAUGCAUAGAUAUCGCGCAGAACUCCGAUUGUGAAGGCAGCGUACCGGCGCCACACUGACGCUGAGGCACGAAAGCGUGGGGAUCGAACAGG